rnacentral:rRNA from 1 species
AACGAACGCUGGCGGCAGGCUUAACACACGCAAGUCGAACGCCCCGCAAGGGGAGUGGCAGACGGGUGAGUAACGCGUGGGAAUCUACCUAGUUCUACGGAACAACAGUUGGAAACGACUGCUAAUACCGUAUACGCCCUAUGGGGGAAAGAUUUAUCGGAAUUAGAUGAGCCCGCGUAAGAUUAGCUAGUUGGUGAGGUAAUGGCCUACCAAGGCGACGAUCUUUAGCUGGUCUGAGAGGAUGAUCAGCCACACUGGGACUGAGACACGGCCCAGACUCCUACGGGAGGCAGCAGUGGGGAAUAUUGGACAAUGGGCGCAAGCCUGGUCCAGCCAUGCCGCGUGAGUGAUGAAGGCCUUAGGGUUGUAAAGCUCUUUCAGUGGGGACGAUAAUGACGGUACCCACAGAAGAAGCCCCGGCUAACUUCGUGCCAGCCGCCGCAGUAAUAC